AUUGAACGCUGGCGGCAUGCCUUACACAUGCAAGUCGAACGGUAACAGGUCUUCGGAUGCUGACGAGUGGCGAACGGGUGAGUAAUACAUCGGAACGUGCCUAGUAGUGGGGGAUAACUACUCGAAAGAGUGGCUAAUACCGCAUGAGAUCUACGGAAGAAAGCAGGGGAUCGCAAGACCUUGUGCCACUAGAGCGGCCGAUGGCAGAUUAGGUAGUUGGUGGGAUAAAAGCUUACCAAGCCGACGAUCUGUAGCUGGUCUGAGAGGACGAUCAGCAACACUGGGACUGAGACACGGCCCAGACUCCUACGGGAGGCAGCAGUGGGGAAUUUUGGACAAUGGGCGCAAGCCUGAUCCAGCAAUGCCGCGUGCAGGAUGAAGGCCUUCGGGUUGUAAACUGCUUUUGUACGGAACGAAAAGCCCUGGGUUAAUACCCUGGGGUCAUGACGGUACCGUAAGAAUAAGCACUGGCUAACUACGUGCCAGCAGCCGCCGUAAAAC
rnacentral:rRNA from 1 species